UACGGAGGGUGCGAGCGUUGUUCGGAAUCACUGGGCGUAAAGGGCGUGUAGGCGGUCCGCUAAGUCUGAUGUGAAAGCCCGGGGCUCACCCCCGGAAGGGCAUUGGAAACUGGCGGACUAGAGUCCGGUAGGGGAGUGUGGAAUUCCCGGUGUAGCGGUGAAAUGCGCAGAUAUCGGGAGGAACACCAGUAGCGAAGGCGGGUCUCUGGGCCGAUAUUGACGCUGAGGAGCGAAAGCGUGGGGAGCGAACAGG
rnacentral:rRNA from 1 species